AGGCGAUGGGAGAGCGCCCCGCGCAGCUCAAAAGGCAGGCAGACCUCGGAGGAAGAAGCAGCAGCAAGAGAAGCAGCGGCAGCAAUAGAGGAAAGGCUCCGCUCGGCUCCCUUCACGCUGCAAGCCGCGAAUGAGUAGCCUGCUGAGCCCGGUUUCUGCAGCUAGAGCUCCAUGUGGAUGAAGGAUUAACGGAGAACUAAAAGCGAGUGACCCUCAAGAAAAAUGAAAGCAUAUUUUAAAACAUUAUACAUACAAACAUUGCCUUGAAAAUCCUGAACAGAUGCAGCUGGCAAGAAAGCAUUAAAGGGGUGAAAAAAUUCAUAGAAUCAUAGAGUUGGAAGAGACCACAGGGGCUAUCCAGUCCAACCCCCUGCCAUGCAGAAAAAGCACAAUCAAAGCACCCCCAACAGAUGGCCAUUUAGCCUCCAUUUAAAAGCCUCCAAGGAUCCUCCAUCACACUCAGAGGCAGUGAGUUCCACUGCUGGACUGCUCUUACGAUCAAGAAGUUCUUGCUAAUGUUCAAGGGAAUCUUCUUUCCUAUAAUUUGAACCCAUAUUCCAAGUCUUGGAAUCCGUUAUCAUUACAUUUAACCAUAUUUACAGAAAAAAUAUGCACUUAAACGUACCCCUCAUAUUAAAGUGAUUCAUAAAAGGUUUCCCUGUAAGAACUAUGUUGAGAAAUUCUUCAACAAUGAGUUGGAUUUUUGUAUUUUCCAGUCGUCCCUCUGUCACAGUAUGGAACUAAUGGCAGAUAUGAAGGAAACUGUGUGAACUAUGUUUAUAUACCAUCGUAGCAAAUGCAUGCCUAUAUCAACACCAUUGUGCACUGUGUAUGUGCCUCCUGUGCAUGUUUUUUCCAACUAAAAAAUUGGCCUCUA